AAUCUGUCAAUCCCCUGAACCGGAUGAUGAACCGUCCUGACCUCUGAC
rnacentral:snoRNA from 1 species